UCCCUGGUGGUCCAGUGGCUUAGACACUGUACUUCCACUGCAGAGGGCCUGGGUUUGAUCUCUGGUCAUGGAA
rnacentral:tRNA from 1 species